rnacentral:rRNA from 1 species
UUAAGCGACUAAGCGUACACGGUGGAUGCCCUGGCAGUCAGAGGCGAUGAAGGACGUGCUAAUCUGCGAUAAGCGUCGGUAAGGUGAUAUGAACCGUUAUAACCGGCGAUUUCCGAAUGGGGAAACCCAGUGUGUUUCGACACACUAUCAUUAACUGAAUCCAUAGGUUAAUGAGGCGAACCGGGGGAACUGAAACAUCUAAGUACCCCGAGGAAAAGAAAUCAACCGAGAUUCCCCCAGUAGCGGCGAGCGAACGGGGAGCAGCCCAGAGCCUGAAUCAGUGUGUGUGUUAGUGGAAGCGUCUGGAAAGGCGCGCGAUACAGGGUGACAGCCCCGUACACAAAAAUGCACAUGCUGUGAGCUCGAUGAGUAGGGCGGGACACGUGGUAUCCUGUCUGAAUAUGGGGGGACCAUCCUCCAAGGCUAAAUACUCCUGACUGACCGAUAGUGAACCAGUACCGUGAGGGAAAGGCGAAAAGAACCCCGGCGAGGGGAGUGAAAAAGAACCUGAAACCGUGUACGUACAAGCAGUGGGAGCACGCUUAGGCGUGUGACUGCGUACCUUUUGUAUAAUGGGUCAGCGACUUAUAUUCUGUAGCAAGGUUAACCGAAUAGGGGAGCCGAAGGGAAACCGAGUCUUAACUGGGCGUUAAGUUGCAGGGUAUAGACCCGAAACCCGGUGAUCUAGCCAUGGGCAGGUUGAAGGUUGGGUAACACUAACUGGAGGACCGAACCGACUAAUGUUGAAAAAUUAGCGGAUGACUUGUGGCUGGGGGUGAAAGGCCAAUCAAACCGGGAGAUAGCUGGUUCUCCCCGAAAGCUAUUUAGGUAGCGCCUCGUGAAUUCAUCUCCGGGGGUAGAGCACUGUUUCGGCAAGGGGGUCAUCCCGACUUACCAACCCGAUGCAAACUGCGAAUACCGGAGAAUGUUAUCACGGGAGACACACGGCGGGUGCUAACGUCCGUCGUGAAGAGGGAAACAACCCAGACCGCCAGCUAAGGUCCCAAAGUCAUGGUUAAGUGGGAAACGAUGUGGGAAGGCCCAGACAGCCAGGAUGUUGGCUUAGAAGCAGCCAUCAUUUAAAGAAAGCGUAAUAGCUCACUGGUCGAGUCGGCCUGCGCGGAAGAUGUAACGGGGCUAAACCAUGCACCGAAGCUGCGGCAGCGACACUAUGUGUUGUUGGGUAGGGGAGCGUUCUGUAAGCCUGUGAAGGUGUACUGUGAGGUAUGCUGGAGGUAUCAGAAGUGCGAAUGCUGACAUAAGUAACGAUAAAGCGGGUGAAAAGCCCGCUCGCCGGAAGACCAAGGGUUCCUGUCCAACGUUAAUCGGGGCAGGGUGAGUCGACCCCUAAGGCGAGGCCGAAAGGCGUAGUCGAUGGGAAACAGGUUAAUAUUCCUGUACUUGGUGUUACUGCGAAGGGGGGACGGAGAAGGCUAUGUUGGCCGGGCGACGGUUGUCCCGGUUUAAGCGUGUAGGCUGGUUUUCCAGGCAAAUCCGGAAAAUCAAGGCUGAGGCGUGAUGACGAGGCACUACGGUGCUGAAGCAACAAAUGCCCUGCUUCCAGGAAAAGCCUCUAAGCAUCAGGUAACAUCAAAUCGUACCCCAAACCGACACAGGUGGUCAGGUAGAGAAUACCAAGGCGCUUGAGAGAACUCGGGUGAAGGAACUAGGCAAAAUGGUGCCGUAACUUCGGGAGAAGGCACGCUGAUAUGUAGGUGAAGUCCCUCGCGGAUGGAGCUGAAAUCAGUCGAAGAUACCAGCUGGCUGCAACUGUUUAUUAAAAACACAGCACUGUGCAAACACGAAAGUGGACGUAUACGGUGUGACGCCUGCCCGGUGCCGGAAGGUUAAUUGAUGGGGUUAGCCGCAAGGCGAAGCUCUUGAUCGAAGCCCCGGUAAACGGCGGCCGUAACUAUAACGGUCCUAAGGUAGCGAAAUUCCUUGUCGGGUAAGUUCCGACCUGCACGAAUGGCGUAAUGAUGGCCAGGCUGUCUCCACCCGAGACUCAGUGAAAUUGAACUCGCUGUGAAGAUGCAGUGUACCCGCGGCAAGACGGAAAGACCCCGUGAACCUUUACUAUAGCUUGACACUGAACAUUGAGCCUUGAUGUGUAGGAUAGGUGGGAGGCUUUGAAGUGUGGACGCCAGUCUGCAUGGAGCCGACCUUGAAAUACCACCCUUUAAUGUUUGAUGUUCUAACGUUGACCCGUAAUCCGGGUUGCGGACAGUGUCUGGUGGGUAGUUUGACUGGGGCGGUCUCCUCCUAAAGAGUAACGGAGGAGCACGAAGGUUGGCUAAUCCUGGUCGGACAUCAGGAGGUUAGUGCAAUGGCAUAAGCCAGCUUGACUGCGAGCGUGACGGCGCGAGCAGGUGCGAAAGCAGGUCAUAGUGAUCCGGUGGUUCUGAAUGGAAGGGCCAUCGCUCAACGGAUAAAAGGUACUCCGGGGAUAACAGGCUGAUACCGCCCAAGAGUUCAUAUCGACGGCGGUGUUUGGCACCUCGAUGUCGGCUCAUCACAUCCUGGGGCUGAAGUAGGUCCCAAGGGUAUGGCUGUUCGCCAUUUAAAGUGGUACGCGAGCUGGUUUAGAACGUCGUGAGACAGUUCGGUCCCUAUCUGCCGUGGGCGCUGGAGAACUGAGGGGGGCUGCUCCUAGUACGAGAGGACCGGAGUGGACGCAUCACUGGUGUUCGGGUUGUCAUGCCAAUGGCACUGCCCGGUAGCUAAAUGCGGAAGAGAUAAGUGCUGAAAGCAUCUAAGCACGAAACUUGCCCCGAGAUGAGUUCUCCCUGACUCCUUGAGAGUCCUGAAGGAACGUUGAAGACGACGACGUUGAUAGGCCGGGUGUGUAAGCGCAGCGAUGCGUUGAGCUAACCGGUACUAAUGAACCGUGAGGCUUAACCUU